CCUACGGGAGACAGCAGUGAGGAAUAUUGGUCAAUGGCCGCAGGGCUGAACCAGCCAAGUCGCGUGAGGGAUGACGGUCCUAUGGAUUUUAAACCUCUUUUGUCAGGGAGCAAAGGGCGCCACGUGUGGCGCUUUGCGAGUACCUGAAGAAAAAGCAUCGGCUAACCCCGUGCCAGCAGCCGCGGUAAUACGGAGGAUGCGAGCGUUAUCCGGAUUGAUUGGGUUAAAAGGGGGCCCAGGCGGAAUGUCAAGUCAGCGGUAAAAUUUCGGGGCUCAACCCCGUCGUGCCGUUGAAACUGGCGUUCUUGAGUGAGCGAGAAGUAUGCGGAAUGCGUGGUGUAGCGGUGAAAUGCAUAGAUAUCACGCAGAACUCCGAUUGCGAAGGCAGCAUACCGGCGCUCAACUGACGCUCAUGCACGAAAGCGUGGGUAUCGAACAGGAUUAGAUACCCUUGUAGUC
rnacentral:rRNA from 1 species